UACAGAGGGUGCAAGCGUUAAUCGGAAUGACUGGGCGUAAAGGGCAUGUAGGUGGCAAAAUAAGUUAGAUGUGAAAUCCCCGGGCUUAACCUGGGAACUGCAUUUAAAACUGUUUAGCUAGAGUAUGGGAGAGGGCAGUGGAAUUUCCGGUGUAGCGGUGAAAUGCGUAGAUAUCGGAAGGAACACCAGUGGCGAAGGCGACUGCCUGGCCUGUUACUGACACUGAGAUGCGAAAGCGUGGGGAGCAAACAGG
rnacentral:rRNA from 1 species